GUUGUAUAGUCAAGUAAUUAAGUGCAUGUGGUGGAUGCCUUGGCAGUCAGAGGCGAUGAAAGACGUGAUAGCCUGCGAAAAGCUCCGGGGAGGCGGCAAAUAUCCUUUGAUCCGGAGAUGUCUGAAUGGGGGAACCCACCUACUUUAAGGUAGGUAUUGCAACAUGAAUACAUAGUGUUGCAAGGCGAACGAGGGGAAGUGAAACAUCUCAGUACCCUUAGGAAAAGAAAUCAAUUGAGAUUCCCUCAGUAGCGGCGAGCGAACGGGGAUCAGCCCAUUAAGUUAUGUGUGUUUUAGUGGAACGCUCUGGGAAGUGCGAACGUAGAGGGUGAUAUUCCCGUACACGAAAGGGCACACAUAAUGAUGACGAGUAGGGCGAGGCACGUGAAACCUUGUCUGAAUAUGGGGGGACCAUCCUCCAAGGCUAAAUACUCCUGACUGACCGAUAGUGAACCAGUACCGUGAGGGAAAGGCGAAAAGAACCCCUGUGAGGGGAGUGAAAUAGAUCCUGAAACCGCAUGCAUACAAGCAGUGGGAGCACCUUCGUGGUGUGACUGCGUACCUUUUGUAUAAUGGGUCAGCGACUUAUAUUCAGUAGCAAGGUUAACCGUAUAGGGGAGCCGUAGAGAAAUCGAGUCUUAAUAGGGCGUUUAGUUGCUGGGUAUAGACCCGAAACCAGGCGAUCUAUCCAUGAGCAGGUUGAAGGUUGGGUAACACUAACUGGAGGACCGAACCCACUGUCGUUGAAAAGCCAGGGGAUGACUUGUGGAUAGGGGUGAAAGGCUAAUCAAGCCUGGUGAUAGCUGGUUCUCCCCGAAAGCUAUUUAGGUAGCGCCUCGGACGAAUACCAUAGGGGGUAGAGCACUGUUUCGGCUAGGGGGUCAUCCCGACUUACCAAACCGAUGCAAACUCCGAAUACCUAUGAGUACUAUCCGGGAGACAGACUGCGGGUGCUAACGUCCGUAGUCAAGAGGAAAACAAUCCAGACCGCCAGCUAAGGCCCCAAAAUCAUAGUUAAGUGGGAAACGAUGUGGGAAGGCAUAGACAGCUAGGAGGUUGGCUUAGAAGCAGCCACCCUUUAAAGAAAGCGUAAUAGCUCACUAGUCGAGUCGGCCUGCGCGGAAGAUGUAACGGGGCUAAAACUAUGUGCCGAAGCUGCGGAUGUAUACUUUGUAUACGUGGUAGGGGAGCGUUCUGUAAGCCGAUGAAGGUGUGUUGAGAAGCAUGCUGGAGGUAUCAGAAGUGCGAAUGCUGACGUGAGUAACGACAAAACGGGUGAAAAACCCGUUCGCCGAAAGACCAAGGGUUCCAGUCCAACGUUAAUCGGGGCUGGGUGAGUCGACCCCUAAGGCGAGGCCGAAAGGCGUAGUCGAUGGGAAAAUGGUUAAUAUUCCAUUACUUCUGUGUAAUGCGAUGAGAGGACGGAGAAGGCUAAAUCAGCCUGGCGUUGGUUGUCCAGGUGAAAGGAUGUAGGCAUGUAUCUUAGGCAAAUCCGGGGUACUCUAUGCUGAGAUCUGAUAGCAAGCUGUACUUGUACAGCGAAGUGGUUGAUGCCAUGCUUCCAGGAAAAGUCUCUAAGCUUCAGUUACACAGGAAUCGUACCCGAAACCGACACAGGUGGUCAGGUCGAGUAGACCAAGGCGCUUGAGAGAACUCUGCUGAAGGAACUAGGCAAAAUGGUACCGUAACUUCGGGAGAAGGUACGCUGUUGUUGGUGAUGGAACUCGCUUCCUGAGCUGACGACAGCCGCAGAAACCAGGCCGCUGCAACUGUUUAUUAAAAACAUAGCACUCUGCAAACACGAAAGUGGACGUAUAGGGUGUGAUGCCUGCCCGGUGCUGGAAGGUUAAUUGAUGGGGUUAGCGUAAGCGAAGCUCUUGAUCGAAGCCCCAGUAAACGGCGGCCGUAACUAUAACGGUCCUAAGGUAGCGAAAUUCCUUGUCGGGUAAGUUCCGACCUGCACGAAUGGCAUAAUGAUGGCGGCGCUGUCUCCAGCAGAGGCUCAGUGAAAUCGAAAUCGCUGUGAAGAUGCAGUGUACCCGCGGCUAGACGGAAAGACCCCGUGAACCUUUACUGCAGCUUGACACUGAACUUUGACCUUACUUGUGUAGGAUAGGUGGGAGGCUUUGAAGCUGGAACGCUAGUUCCAGUGGAGCCGUCCUUGAAAUACCACCCUGGUAAUGUUGAGGUUCUAACUCUGUCCCGUGAUCCGGGACGAGGACCGUGUCUGGUGGGUAGUUUGACUGGGGCGGUCUCCUCCUAAAGAGUAACGGAGGAGUACGAAGGUGCGCUCAGCGUGGUCGGAAAUCACGCGUAGAGUAUAAAGGCAAAAGCGCGCUUAACUGCGAGACCCACAAGUCGAGCAGGUACGAAAGUAGGUCUUAGUGAUCCGGUGGUUCUGUAUGGAAGGGCCAUCGCUCAACGGAUAAAAGGUACUCUGGGGAUAACAGGCUGAUACCGCCCAAGAGUUCAUAUCGACGGCGGUGUUUGGCACCUCGAUGUCGGCUCAUCUCAUCCUGGGGCUGAAGCAGGUCCCAAGGGUAUGGCUGUUCGCCAUUUAAAGAGGUACGCGAGCUGGGUUUAGAACGUCGUGAGACAGUUCGGUCCCUAUCUACCGUGGGCGCUGGAAAUUUGAGAGGAUCUGCUCCUAGUACGAGAGGACCAGAGUGGACGAACCUCUGGUGUACCGGUUGUGACGCCAGUCGCAUCGCCGGGUAGCUAUGUUCGGAAGGGAUAACCGCUGAAAGCAUCUAAGCGGGAAGCCUACCUCAAGAUAAGAUUUCCCUAGGACUUUAUGUCCUCUAAAGAGCCGUUCGAGACUAGGACGUUGAUAGGUUGGAUGUGGAAGCAUAGUGAUAUGUGAAGCUGACCAAUACUAAUUGCUCGUGAGGCUUGACUAUACAACACCCAAGCAGUUG
rnacentral:rRNA from 1 species